ACUGCGCGUGUUGCCACUUGCCACUGAGCUUCGUGUCGACAUCUCAAGCUGCUCGACCCAUGUGUGGGCAUCUCGGUCAUUUCGCGAAGGCCGCGCAUCCUAUAAAUGAGACCCCUUCCUCCUCCCCUGCCGUUGUUGUUGGCUUCGUGGUCCGUGUUUAACGGGCGUAGAGAGAGAAAGAGAACAGAGCGAGAGAGGGGGAGGACGAAGCCCUCCGCGUCGUCUCCUGCUGUUCCAUCCCACAUCUAUUCUGCCUCGGCUUGCACCUUCGACCUCGCUGAAAGUUCUGACCUCAAACUGAAAGGGGCCUGUGAAGCGUUUCCUUGCGGCAGUGCAAUGGAGGCACAGGGAACUGACUGCCUUUGCUGACUGAAGUUUUUGUACAGUUGUUACUAGUGUUUUGCUUGUCAAGUUCCUAAUCAAGCUUGAAUCAUUUACGGUCUGUUCUCAUAUAGCUCAACUCUAUCUGUUUCUUAACUCUUUUUUACAGGUUAUGUUUCUAACGCUUAAUGUUUUCCUCAUGUUCUUUUUUGUCUUGUUUCCCCCCUAACAUUUGUUGUGUAUGCAGGACCAUCCAGGUUCAAAUCGUUCUUGGGAAAUGUUUUGUUCUUCUUUAUAUAACUAUAUUGCUAACUUAUUUUCAUUUGUUAAUUAUUUUGCUUUAUUUUGAUUUGCAGGUGAACAUCUCUGGUUCUAUUUUCAUCGUCGGGUAACAAGAAACUAAUCAGGGAGUCUCUUCCCAUUUCUUGCAGUGGAGGAAUGUUUAGCUACAGCCGCGCAGCAUGCUUUCCAGAGCAUAAAUUGGUGGAAGAGAAGUUUGAUGCUACCACUUUGCCAGAAGAACCGAGCCAGACACAAUAACAUCAAACUGAGUCUGAGAUACUGCACUUUACAAAUUCUUUCGAUAUUGGCAGAUUGAAGACCAACAAGAUUUGAAGAGCAGCAAGAUCAGCUUGCACCUGCAGUUUGAAGAAAUCCUUUCAAAGAAGACUGCUUGCGGCAAUCUUGCCUUCACUCCACAAGCAUGUGCUGUGUUAUGCGUACCAUGUAAUGAUUGUAGUACUUGACAACUGAUACCAAAGUAGUGGAUGCUUUUCUUUCGCAUGAAGUCAUGUUGAUUUUUGUACGUUCUAACAGCGUCUCCAUCAAUAUCCUAUUGAAUCUCCCAUACUUCUAUACCUAUA
rnacentral:lncRNA from 1 species